ACCAAGCGACGCAAUAGCGCUUCUUGUGUGUGAUAGGUAACGUGAUUCUCGUGUUUUUUUUUCAUCGCUCCGUCACUUUUAUUGCAGUUUGCGAAGUGAUCGGACGUAUUAUUCCGUAUUCUUCAGUUAAUAAUUCUUUUCAUUAUUAAUAAUUGUGUGUUUUAAAAUGAUUAGACGAAGCAAUGCACAAAGUAUAAUGAAUCGAAAAAGAAAAUCUGUAAGCACAAACACAAAUCCAUGUGAUCAUAUGAUCACAAACGAUAAUAUUAUCGUCGACGAUGACGA
rnacentral:lncRNA from 1 species